GGGGGGAGCAAGCGUUGUUCGGAAUCAUUGGGCGUAAAGAGCUCGUAGGCGGCUCCAUAAGUCAGAGGUGAAAUCCAAUGGCUCAACCAUUGGCACGCCUUUGAAACUAUGGAACUUGAGUUCAGGAGAGGAAAGCGGAAUUCCAGGUGUAGCGGUGAAAUGCGUAGAUAUCUGGAGGGACACCGGUGGCGAAGGCGGCUUUCUGGCCUGAAACUGACGCUGAGGAGCGAAAGCCAGGGGGGAGCAAACGGGAUUAGAUACCCCGGUAGUCCUGGCCGUAAACGAUGGGCACUAGGUGUGGGGAGUUCGACCCCUUUCCGUGCCGCAGUUAACGCAUUAAGUGCCCCGCCCGGGGGAGUACGACCGCAAGGUUG
rnacentral:rRNA from 1 species